GCCUUCGUGGUGUAACGGUUAACGCACUCGGCCCUUAUUCGAAAGGUCCAGGCUCGAAUCUCGGUGAGGGCA
rnacentral:tRNA from 1 species